CCAAAUAAAUAUUGUUAUAUACUGUGUAAAAAUAGAAGGUGCUGGCAUUCUGAAUUUUUUGCAAAGGCUGUUCCUCCAAACCUGCUCCUUGGUGGAUCUGUAUCACUGAGUCAUAUGUAGGCCAAAAGGAUCAUAAGCCAAAUGGUUGGAACUCGGUAGUUCUGUUCCCUGCUGUCACUACAUUGUUUCCCCAACAAACUCAGUUUACAGUAGACAUCAGAAUUUUAUAUUCAACCACUAGCAGUAGUUGCUAACGCAUCAUGCAAUUAAUAUAAAUCAUUUAAAAAUUUAUAACCGCCUGAUAGGCCGUCAUGUUAAAUUACUAAAUGUAUUUAUUUUUAAAAUGUUGGCUGGAUACAACGGCUCACUCCUAUAAUCCUAGCACUUUGGGAGGCUCAAGGAGGGAUCGCUUGAACCUGGGAGUUCGAGACCAGCCUGGGCAACGCAAUGAAACCUCUUUCUACAAAACAUACAAAAUUUAGCUGGGCAUUGUGGUGCACCCCUGUGGCCCCAGCUACUCAUGAGGCUGAGCUGGGAGGAUCGCUUGAGUCCCGGAGGUCAAGGCUGCAGUAAACUGUAAUUGCACUGCUACACUCCGACCCAGGUAACAGUGAUACCCUGUCUCAAAAACACAAAAACAAAAACAAAAAACAGUUAACAAUGUUCACAAUGGAGAGAGCUAUGAAAACAAAAUUUUAGAGACAGUGUGGCUCAAGAACUAUCUCUGUGCAGUUGCAGCUAGAAGGAACCAAGGUGGCUGACUCUGAUUUUGAACUAGAAUUGUCACUGACAAUAAGAGUUACUGUGGAGGAUGAAAAACUCCCAUCAUUCCCUUAGCAAGACUUGAAAAGAAGGAUGAAUUAUGUUCAGCAAAUUUAAUAUUUCACAGUGAUAAAACUCAUAUUAUUUUGCAUUGUUAAAUCUCUGAAAUCCUGAUGCAUUUACCAUGGAUGGCGUUUUAGGAUUAUGGUUGGCGAGGUCAUGGUUGUGAUGUGGUGUCACUGCCGGCACAUGUACAAACUUGUUGGUUAUUCCUGGUGGGAUGACUUGGCCACUGUAAUCUCCAUGUUUCUCUCAACAGAUUAUAUAAGGACCAUCUGGAAAAGACACAUGCUGCCUGUUGUCUGGAAACCUUCCACUGACACUUUCGGUUAAGAUCAGGAAAGUCUCAGCAUCAAAAUUUGUAAGACAGGUGUCAGUAGUUUGCAAGAAAACAGUAGUGGAAUCGUUUUAAGGAAUGCUGCAUUAUUAGUACGUAGUAAUUAAGGACACAGAGGACAUUUCUGUAUGAACGACACAGACACCAAUGACUGUAAGCUGAAAAAUGACUCAGAAGAAAAAUAGAGAUUCUGAAUGUAAAGAAAUUAUUGAUUUUUUUUUUUUUUUUUUUUUUUUUUUGAGACAAAGCCUCACUCUGUCACCCAGGCUGGAGUGUAAUGUUGAGAUCUUGGCUUACUGCAACCUCUGCCUCCCAGGUUCAAGCAAUUCUCGUUCCUCAGCCUUCUGAGUAGCUGGAAUUACAGAUGGAGUUUCGCUGUUGUUACCCAGACUGGAGUGCAAUGGCACGAUCUCGGCUCACCACAACCUCCGCCUUCUGGAUUCAAGCAAUUCUCCUGCCUCAGCCUCCUGAGUAGCUGGGACUACAGGCGUGCACCACCAUGCCCAGCUAAUUUUUGUAUUUUUAGUAGAGACGGGGUUUCACCUCGUUGACCAGGAUGUUCUCAAUCUCUUGACCUCGUGAUCCACCCGCCUCGGCCUCCCAAAGUGCUGGGAUUAUAGGCAUGAGCCACCGCGCCCGGCCUAAAAAUUCUAAAUAAUAAAAAAAGAAUUACAAAUA